CAGCCGCCGCGGUAACCCCAGCGCCACAAGUGGGAACCACGUUUAUUGGGUCUAAAGCAUCCGUAGCCGGCUUGUUAAAUGCCCUGUGAAAUCGUUCCGCUCAACGGGACGGCGUGCAGGGUAGACUGGCAAGCUUGGAACCAGGAAAGGUAUGCGGUAUUCUGUGGGGAGCGGUAAAAUGCUAUAAUCCACAGAGGACCACCGAUGGCGAAGGCAGCAUACUUGAAUGGAUUCGACGGUGAGGGAUGAAAGCUAGGGGAGCGAUCCGGAUUAGAUACCCGAGUAGUCCUAGCCGUAAACGCUGCGUGCAAGAUGUUGCACAAUCUUCGCGAUUGUGCAGUGUCGUAACGAAGGUGUUAAGCACGCCACCUGGGAAGUACGGUCGCAAGGCUGAAACUUAAAGGAAUUGGGGGGGGAGCACA
rnacentral:rRNA from 1 species